GACGAACGCUGGCGGCGUGCUUAACACAUGCAAGUCGAACGGAAAGGCCUCUUUCGGGGGGUACUCGAGUGGCGAACGGGAGAGUAACACGUGAGUAACCUGCCCUUGACUUUGGGAUAACUUCAGGAAACUGGGGCUAAUACCGGAUAGGUGCUCCUGCUGCAUGGGGGGGGAUGGAAAGUUUAGGGGGUUGGGGAUGGACUCGCGGCUUAUCAGCUUGUUGGUGGGGUAGUGGCUUACCAAGGCUUUGACGGGUAGCCGGCCUGGGAGGGUGACCGGCAACAUUGGGACUGGGAUACGGCCCAGACUCCUACGGGAGGCAGAAGUGGGGGAUGUUGCACAAUGGGUGGAGGCCUGAUGCAGCAACGCCGUGUGCGGGAUGACGGCCUUCGGGUUGUAUACCGCUUUCGCUCAUGACGGAGCUUUGUGUGACGGUAGUGGGUAAAGAAGCACCGGCUAACUACGUG
rnacentral:rRNA from 1 species